rnacentral:rRNA from 1 species
GACGAGCCACACAAACGUUAUUCGGAAUUACUGGGCUUAAAGGGUGCGUAGGCGGUGCGGCAAGUUGGGUGUGAAAUCCCUCGGCUCAACCGAGGAAUUGCGCUCAAAACUACCGUGCUAGAGGGAGAUAGAGGAGUGCGGAACUUAGGGUGGAGCGGUGAAAUGCGUUGAUAUCCUAGGGAACACCGGUGGCGAAAGCGGCACUCUGGAUCUCAUCUGACGCUGAUGCACGAAAGCUAGGGUAGCAAACGGG